rnacentral:rRNA from 1 species
UACGUAGGGGGCUAGCGUUGUCCGGAUUUAUUGGGCGUAAAGAGCGUGUAGGCGGCCAGGUAGGUCUGCUGUGAAAACUCGAGGCUCAACCUCGAGACGUCGGCGGAAACCAUCUGGCUAGAGUCCGGAAGAGGAGAGUGGAAUUCCUGGUGUAGCGGUGAAAUGCGCAGAUAUCAGGAAGAACACCCGUGGCGAAGGCGGCUCUCUGGGACGGUACUGACGCUGAGACGCGAAAGCCGUGGGGAGCGAACAGG